GCAAGUCAGGGAGAAAGUCUCUUCGGGGAUGAUUAAACCGGCACACGGGUGAGUAACACGUGAGUGACCUGCCUUUUAGACUGGAACAACUUACCGCAAGGUGAGCUAAUGCCGGAUGAGUUAUAUAAGUGCAUGUUUAUAUAGGAAAAGUUGGGGAGACCUGACGCUGAAAGAUGGACUCGCGUCCCAUUAGCUAGUUGGUAGGGUAAUGGCCUACCAAGGCGACGAUGGGUAGCCGGCCUGAGAGGGUGGGC
rnacentral:rRNA from 1 species